rnacentral:rRNA from 1 species
CGCUGAACUUAAGCAUAUCAAUAAGCGGAGGAAAAGAAACUAACAAGGAUUCCCCUAGUAACUGCGAGUGAAGCGGGAAGAGCUCAAAUUUGAAAUCUGGCGGCUCCGUCGUCCGAGUUGUAACCUGGAGAAGCGUUUUCCGUGCCGGACCGUGUACAAGUCCCUUGGAACAGGGCGUCGUAGAGGGUGAGAAUCCCGUCUUUGACACGGACUCCCGGUGCUCUGUGAUGCGCUCUCGAAGAGUCGAGUUGUUUGGGAAUGCAGCUCAAAAUGGGUGGUAAAUUCCAUCUAAAGCUAAAUAUUGGCGAGAGACCGAUAGCGAACAAGUACCGUGAGGGAAAGAUGAAAAGCACUUUGGAAAGAGAGUAAAACAGUACGUGAAAUUGUUGAAAGGGAAACGCUUGAAGUCAGUCGCGUCUGCCGGGACUCAGCUCCGCUCCGCGGGGUGCACUUCCCGGCCGACGGGUCAGCAUCGGUUUUGGGGGACGGACAAAGGCGGGAGGAAGGUGGCAGCUCCGGCUGUGUUAUAGCCUCCCGUUGUACGCGCCCUCCGGGACCGAGGAAUCCGGCGCUCGCCGCCUGGGAUGCUGGCGUAAUGGCUUUAAGCGACCCGUCUUGAAACACGGACCAAGGAGUGCUACACGCUCGCGAGUGUUUGGGUGGAAAACCCGGACGCGAAAUGAAAGUGAAAGUCGAGACCCUUUGCGGGGGCACCGACGCCCGAGCCUGACGUUUUCUGAAGGCCUUGCGGUAGAGCGAGCGCGUUGCGACCCGAAAGAUGGUGAACUAUUCCUGAGGAGGGCGAAGCCAGAGGAAACUCUGGUGGAGGCUCGUAGCGGUUCUGACGUGCAAAUCGAUCGCAGGACUUGGGUAUAGGGGCGAAAGACUAAUCGAACCAUCUAGUAGCUGGUUCCUGCCGAAGUUUCCC